rnacentral:rRNA from 1 species
UACGGAGGGUGCGAGCGUUAAUCGGAUUUACUGGGCGUAAAGCGCGCGUAGGCGGUUUGGUAAGUCAGAUGUGAAAUCCCCGGGCUCAACCUGGGAACGGCAUUUGAUACUGUCAGACUCGAGUGUGGUAGAGGGAAGUGGAAUUCCGCAUGUAGCGGUGAAAUGCGUAGAUAUGCGGAGGAACACCAGUGGCGAAAGCGGCUUCCUAGACCAACACUGACGCUGAGGUGCGAAAGCGUGGGGAGCAAACAGG